AUGGAAGAACUGAGUCAGGCCCUAGCUAGUAGCUUUUCUGUGUCUCAAGAACUGAAUAGCACAGCUGCCUCAUAUCUUCACCUGUCUAAACACAAGUCUAAGUACAGUUCCUGGGAGCAGAGUGAGUGGCUCCACCAGUUGCUAGAACUAUAGAAAUCCAAGCAUUUGGGUUAUUAUAUGAACCAUUCCGGAAGACUGGUUGAAGAUGAUUAGACAGGAAUGGAGAUGGAAAAGAUAAGGAAGGUAAAGAGGAAAUAGACGACUCUGACAAGAAGUUACCAAAACACUAUGCUGAUCAAUUGGGGUAAGAGUGGAUUGUGGUUGUGUGUCCUGUUGGGAAAAAAUCCCUUAUCAUGGCCUCCAGGGGUUCAACCAGUGCCUACACCAAGAAUAGCUACUGUGUCAAUAGGUUUUUUUUCCCUUCUGCCAGGAGGCAACAGGAGAAACUCAAUAACAGCCAAAGACUACACCAUAACAUUUAAAGUGAGGUAAACUAGACCGACUAUGUUUUGGAUGUAAUGUGUUAGUGGGGACACCUUUUCUAUGACUGUCAAACUGAUUUCCAGCUCUACUGUGUACAUUCAAAGUUGACAGAAGAACUCUGAGAGAAAACCAAGAUUAAUCCUUUUAAGUGUAUGGGACUAAAGGAUUUCCUGUGUACCCCCUGAGAGCCUAUGUAAGGUGAUGUCUGGAUUUUUCCUUUGAGGUAAAUGGUCUUCUCUUCUAUCAUAAGCAGACCCACGAUAGCCCUGGGAGUCUUCCCUGUGUGGGCUGCCUAUGCUUCUACAUGAGACCAGAUAUCCUAGGUGUAGCUGUGCCAGCUGGUCCACUGGCCACCAAGCCAGACUAUGCUGGGUACCAACUCCAUCAGAUUAUUGAGCAUAAGAUGAGCCAGGAGUACAUGAAGGAAAAACUCAUAUACAGUGUUUCUGAGAAUGGGCACUAUGAGCUGGAGCACCUAUGCACUCCCAAGUUGAGUCCUCCCCACAAAUCUGAGAGCCUCAUGGAU
rnacentral:lncRNA from 1 species